rnacentral:rRNA from 1 species
UACGGAGGGUGCAAACGUUGCUCGGAAUCAUUGGGCGUAAAGCGCACGUAGGCGGCCUGUUAAGUCGGGUGUGAAAGCCCUGGCUCAACCCAGGAAGUGCACUCGAAACUGGCGGGCUUGAAUAUGGAAGAGGGUCGCGGAAUUCCCGGUGUAGAGGUGAAAUUCGUAGAUAUCGGGAGGAACACCAGUGGCGAAGGCGGCGACCUGGGCCAAUAUUGACGCUGAGGUGCGAAAGCGUGGGGAGCAAACAGG